GAGUUGCAAAGCGCUGUGUACGUGUAUGCAUCGUUGUUGGUUCGUCCGCACCUCCGAUCAGGCAUUAGCCCUACCAUACUGAUAGCUUGUCACACAGCUCUCAGUUUGUUGCAGAACGAGAGUGUAGGGUCUGGACAGCUCGUUUGUUCGGACACGCGCAUCAGCAUGCCCUUUGUAGACUACAACUGAUUCAAUUCGAUCGGUGUUGGCAGAGUGUUCUAGGCGAUGCACUCAGCCAGCGGUAUAGCCAGCGGUCUUGUAACAUAUUGAGCGGAGAAUUGCACCAUUGGGAGAAGCCAUAAAGUUAGUUUUGCAGCUGGCAGGUGCGCGGUAGUGAACCGCGCGGGAACUACACACCGUGGUCUCCACCUCCUUCGUGAUCCACAUACUGUUGACGAGAUCUGUGGAAAUUGCACCAUUGGGAAGUGGCUGAUUGGCGUGUCAGAUGUCGGGUCAGUAAGCUUUCGGCUCACAGAAUGGCAUCUUUCCAAAAUGAGCUUGUGGACCUGUGCGUACGGGACAAGGCUGAAGAGAUAGAGGCCAAGCUUCUUGUGAACGGCCAGGUUAUUGAUCUUGCUUUCAAUGAAUACCAUCGAAGUUCCAGAUAUUCCAGAGUGUCAUUUCUGGUGAGUAUGAAGCAUAUUCCGUAAAUCCGUCCGCAGCCUGCACAUUUGCAUUUCUUUUCACAUGCAUUUGUUUUUCUAUUGGCAAGAAAGCCAGAGAGCGCAUGUGGUGAAGGUGGAAUUGCUUUAUUGAUAAACAGCCCGAAACCUGCUGCUUACCAAGAAAGGACAAAUAUAUAACAUUUACUGCAGAAGUUUUCCGUCUGAAGUAGUGUUCAAUGGAAUACGAGUAUGAGGUACGCUAUAUUUGUUCUCACGAAUGAGCCGGAUAAUCUCUCACUAU